GGCUUCUGGGAGAUGGCGAGCACACACACACACACACACACACACACACACACACACACACACAAACAGGGAGGAGACAUAAACACACACAUUUAUAGCACCUUUUUUGGUUGGUGCCCUGAGUGUGUGUCUUUGGGUCUCCAGACGGUUGAGGCCCGGCGGUACGCAGCAGGAGGUGUUAAUGAUGUGAGCGCUCAGUGUUCUCUGCUGGGAGUGAGCUGUUGUGUGUUAGCUGCUGUCUGUCACCACACCAACACCAAAACAUCUUCAUAGUUCAUCCAUGUGUGUGUGUGUGUGUGUGGAUCACUGAAGCUGACGUCUUACUGCACAGUGUGUGUGUGUGUGUCUGGUUUUCCACUUUUCGGUUCCUGUGCAUAUUAAAAAUCAUGAAUCUCCCGCCUGCACUCCCUGCCAAAUAACACUCAGACAACUUUAUUAGUAGGUGUGUGUGUCUGUGUAUGUGUGUGUGAGUGUUUACCAAUCCAUUUUUGGUAAUAAGGUUUAAAACAUGCCUCACUACUAUUUCACAAUAAUUCAUAUUUCUGAAUUUUUGGAUGUAAACGCGCCUCGUGUUUUCAUGUUUUCAUUCUGUGUUUGUGUUGCCGCCCAGUUCUGGUCAUGAGACUUGAGUUUGCGUCACCGUCUGCUUUUUAUAACUCGGUUAAUUUCGGUGGUGUACACCUCUAAUGUGUGUUUUUGAGUGUGUGUGUGUUUGAGAUCACUGUUUGACGUAAUGCUGCUGUACUCAAUCACUGCAGAUUUAUUUCAACCUGCCACGUUCGUUUGGAAAAUCUUACUUGAUGUAUCCAGUCAGGAUUUUUUUUGUCUUCAGAGUCAGAUCAUAGGCUGUAAGUAAAGAUGGACAACACAUCUCCUCAUACUGUUAAAAAAUGAAGCCAAAAUGCUUCUACGAUUGAUGCCAACAUACUGGUUUAUAUGCACUGGGCAGAAAUCGAGUUACUGACAGGAGGUUGUCUACACGGCUGAAAUCCAAAUGCUGCUCUACGGAGCAAAUAUGCAAUGCGCUCUGUACGGAUCCUUCGUACGGUUUCAGAGUGUUGCAGGAAAAGGUUGAUUCUGUUGUUUGUUUCUACAAAAGUGUGCGUUAGCGUCCUGUAGUCGUAUUCGUUGAUUGUCAGUUUUUGAACAGAGGGUUCACUUCGGGUAAAACCAUCCACAUGCCUCGGUUUUUAAUCCAUCAUUGAGCCACCAGGACGAGAUGACACCGCUGAUUUAACUCCAGCGUGGGCUCCAUCACGUCCGUCAUUAGGAGAAUCCGUCUUUGCUAAUGUUGGUACCAUUUUCUGCUGACUCGUCAUUUACCUUGGCCGCGUUUGAGGAGCUUAAUCCGGCUUCACCCGCAUGUCUAGGGUAGUUGCUAGAGUAAACAUCUGCGUAGUCUUAAUUAUUGCCCCGUGAUGACAUUUUUCCAAUAACCCAAAUGAAGCAGGAUUUGGCGCUCCGGCUCCAGGACUGAAAACCAUGAAGAAGAUUUAUGGCGCGGAGGAACGCUGGCGUGGUUGUGUUUCAAAUGCAGAUCUACAUUUGUCUCUUUUAUAAAUUUAUGCUCUUUUUCGGCGCUCUACUUUGCUUUUUUCCCAGAUAAUUUUUGUUUUCGCUGCCGGCUGGUGUAAAGUCCGUACAAACGGAUACACAACACACUCAGACGCACUCGCGCAGCGCUGAUGAGGAUGGAUGACGCUGGACUGAGUGAAUUAAAGUGAAUCUCUGUGUGUUAGCACAGGAAGAAAAUCUCCGACACACACUCCGACACACACCAAACCCUUAAGGUCUGACACCCUUUCAGAUAUCCGCAUUAGAGCCUGUAAUCUAAUUCACGGCUAUCGUUUUACAAAUCGAAUCAUGACACACCACUCAUAUUCAAUAUCACCAAACCUGCAGCCUUUUAGUUUGGCCUCUCAAACCGGCGUGUAAAAGCUUCAUCACAGGCCGCGCUGAUGAAAUUACCCUCUAUUAUCCGCCCUCUCUCUUUCUCCUCUUCUCGCCAACUCUCACUCCCUCCACUCACUCUUACUUGAAGGAGUGUGCAGAUUUAAUUUGCAGCAGGACUCAUGAGCCACUUAGAGCGAUCUCUCCCCGUGUGCAGGGAUUGAUUGAUUAGGUCUUAUCUUGUUAUCUAGGUCUGUGGUCGUUUGAUAGGCCUGUUUGUUCUCUCACUAGUCUCUCAGUCUUUCUAUCUGUAUCCCUUUCCUUUUUAUGUAAUUUCAUGCCCGUCUUCUGUGGAGUGUUUGUGUGUCUGUGUGUGUGUGUGUGUGUGUGUGUGUGAGUGCGUCUCGGCCUUCAGCGUCUCUGUCUGCUUUCCCUCCGAUGUGGGAAUCAGACACUGAUAAGGACGGAUUGUCUUGCAGGAUGAGAAUGAGAAAAUUACAAGCUUUUCCCACUUGCAGACUCACACCUCCCUCCCGCUCUGCUGUCGGACUGUGACCUGAUACUGUUUCUCAGAAUUCACUCAAAUCACUCGUCGGUAAUGUCUGACUAAGUAAAUACUGAGCUGAUGCAGUUUCAUCCACCGGGCAUCAGCAUGUUGUUGUAUUAACAAUCUCUUUUCCCAUACACAAGUCUCAGUGUCAUACAAACACGGUGAGGAAGGAUGAAAGUGUGGAAGGCAAGAGUUUAAAGCUUCAGUGAGGAGUUUUUAAGGUUCAUGAAAUCAACUUAAAUUUGUUUUUAUGCCUUUUAAUGAAACACAAAAACAAUCGACACCAUCGGAGACAAGGUUUAUGAUUUUUAUAUUGCAGUUUUGAAAGAUGAAAACCGGUGUGAGGGUUCAAAUAUAUACAAUAAGUCAUGUAUUUGACUGUAAAGGUCCUUUCACACCAGGACUGUUUUUGUCGUGUGAUAAUUUCAGAUGUCAAUAUUUUUUUCGAACCUGUAUCCUGUCAAUACAAGCGUUCAUAUCAGUGACUUUUUCCCAUGCUAGGAUAUUGCGGCAUUUUUUUCGGAUCAUGGUCGAUUUUUCUAAAGUUUUGCAUACUGUAUGUCCACUUCUGACCAAUCAGAUUUUGUGUUGUUGAGACGUCUGAUUCACCCAUAAAUCCAACAUGGCCGACCAGCUGAUUGUUUACGUGUCGGAGAACAAAGUGAUUUUUGAUAAAAGACGAUAAUAUUACAAAGAUAACGACCUGAAGGACAACUUGUGGAGAGUCAUAGCGUCAGAUUUCUCAUUUAAUGAUGGUUUGUGUGCUUUAACAGUUUGCUAAAAGUCUUUGUUUUAACUUUCAUCUGUGCUAACAUAAGCUAACGGUUGUUACCAUAGUUUCAUGCUAUCAUGACAGACAGACAUCUCAACACUAGAGUCUAGUCCUCUGCCUCUUCAAACUUGGAGCUAAUUGUUUCAGCAGAACUUCAAAUUGUCCAACUGACAUUCGAAAACAGGUUCUGAAGUGACCGUGGAACAGUUUCAGCUCCUGAACCAGCAGUGAAACUCACCAAGUUCUCUUCUUUUUUGUAAUAUUGGAUGCACCCGUGUGCGACGUUUCUUUUUCUUUUGAGAAAGCAAAAGGAGGACCAAUUCGCCAUCACUUGAAGUUGAAGUAGACUCCAUUUUUGCCUUUUCGCUUCCACCCGGAAGGUGGGGUUGUUAAGGGAAGGGCCCGCCCUCCUUCGCCUCUGAUUGGCUAUAAGUUCUUACUGUUUGGCUUGAGCGUGUGAUUACGUUUUCAGCUUUUCUAGCCAUCAGAGGCGAAGGAGGCGGGACUUCCCCACAGAAAAGUCUUCCUCAGCAUGCGUUUUUUUCCCCCUGGACACAUUCUGGAUGGGUCACGAACAGCUGGUCAAAAAAGUAAAUAUGUGAUGCAAUUUUUAUUAGAUAGUUGAUAUUUUCUGUAUAUACAACUUCAGUAGUAGUCGUCCUCAUGUUGUCCCCUUCAUGUUCUCUGAAAUGCACUUUCCUUAAUAAAACGAGUGAAUUUAUGUUAAAAUUAGAGUCUUUAAAGGUUUUUUGUUUAAUAAAAUAUGAAUUUGCUUGGUUGGCAUUCUAUAAAAGUGGGUCGCGACUUAAGGACUAUGCGGAAAUGUGGGUCCCAGAGUGAGACCAGUUGAGAACCACUGGCUUAAAUGAUAAAAUCUUCAUUUCUGUCCUCUAAAAAAAAGACGUCUGACUUUGAUGAAAACGUCUUUAAACUUUUCUUGACAUGUUUCCAAACAUUUCAUGGUCCUGUUUCCCCCUAAAACCACCUUUUGGCCCUCAUUCUCCCCUCCCACAGCGUCAAACCCGGACCCUUCCUCCUCACCCCUGCACCCCUCUGUCCUCCCCCUCCAUCAGUCCUGACCACCUGCACUCCUCCUCCUUCCCCUCCUUCGUUCUCUUCGUCUCCACCAGCAGCCUCUCUUCCUCCAGUCUGCUGCACUUUUCCCACCGUCUGCCCCACUCUGACUCGUAAACACACACACACACACUCACAAACACACACACUUGGAGCGGCAGGUUCUCU